CUUAACGCUACUUCAUCACGGCGGCUACGGAGGGUUGUACGGUUGUUCUUUGUGCAUAGUUGUGUCCUUAUUUUCGGUACUCAUCGCGUUUGUGACUGGCGAUGGUGGGACAUAGGUGCUGCUUUAUUCAUUGUAAGAACAAGAGGGAAAACACGACGGGUGUGUCGUUUUUUGGGUUUCCGAAAUCCGAACGCCAAAGACAGUUGUGGUUAACGAGAGUUCAUCGUCCUGGAUGGAGGCUCUACAAGUCAAGUAUACUCUGUUCUGAACACUUCACAGCAGAUUGCUUUCAAGAGGCAGACAGACUGCAACAAGAGUUUGGAAUAAUUCGUCCUGGAAAGAGACCGCGGCACACACUGAAACCUGAUGCAGUUCCUUCAGUUUUCAUUGAUCCUGAGGAUGUUGUCGAAGCGCCAUUAAGUUCUUCGCACGUUAAAAGCGUAAGCCCCGCAGAGACUACGGAGCUUUCGCCAAGCUGUAGGUUUACAGUUUUCUAUCAAAGCGUGUGUUGUGUGCAGGACCGGGACGAUGAAGUACGGUUCCUUCCUUUUCGAGAGACAACAGAAGCACCUGCUGUACGAAAUGCAGCUACCCAAACAGAUGAACGAAAAAGCCACACUGUACCGGGAGUGGGAACACAGACACAUACGUCUGCACCGAGGGCCCGCGCCGUACGGCGAUAGUGAAAGUACCGGUGUCACCAGGCUGUCCAUGUCCCGUGCCAUCCCUGCGUUCUCAGAGCUCUCUGCCGCGUAAAUCACCAGAAGAAGACAGCGUACUAUCCAGUCCUGCCAAACACCCAGACCAUCAAGUCGUAUCAUCGGCCCUCUUCCACGGCACUGCGUGCCAUCCACACCAGCAGGACAUGAAGAGGCAGCCGGUACUAUCGACUUUGAUGAGCAGCACAGUUCACAGAUUGGAAUCGAGGACCCUAUUGCAUACUGGACACAAGGCUGGAAACCCCAUAUACAUGCUUCCAUUUUGUCUUUGUGCAAGGCGUGCGGCACGGCCCUCGUCACCACCUCAGAUGGACACUUGCCAAAAUGACCUGCGUGACAGGCCACAGGAGCGAGUGAACCAGUCAGCCACUUGUACACGGGAAGCCCACAGGAAAUAUUGCGGUGUGCUCGGCAGUCUUGUUUCCUGGCGGCAGCAUCACCGCUGUGCCCGUUCGACGGUAGGGGUGCUGCUUAUUUCCAGCUAUACAAGACGUCCAGCAAAAGAAAGGCAGCAUUGCAAGUGGAGCUACAGGGCACAUCUUUGCAUCUUGCCGGAGAUGCUCGUUGCAACUCCCCUGUACACACUGCGCCUCACAGUACAUGUACAAUCAUGGAGGCGACGAUCAGCGUUAUUGUGCACUUUCAGACAACCACAAUGUCCUACAGUUAUUGCAUGGAGCAAAAAGGACCUUAACUGUGCCUUGAUUACAUCACGUCCGAGGGAAUGGCAGUAAAUACGCUUGUGAGGGAUUGUCAUUCACACGUCAAGUCUUUUCUGAAGGCCAAGUAUCCACAGGGCACCCCAUAUGACAUUGUUGUGCUGGCACCAAGAAAGAAAGUCCAAGAAGCAUCAGAUGCUGCAACUUUGAUUCAAAACCGUCAUCCGUCAUCUGUACUGGUUUGUGAGCACCAGUGACAGCGGGAAACGUCUGCUUGCAAAGCGGGAGACAGUCGUGAGGCACAUCUAAAUCUUCUAUUUUUCUGCGGUGGAAAAAUGUACCUUUCCGCAAAGUCAGAUUUACAAAUCCGCGAGAUUCCGAAGGCGAGCGAACACGAGCAAAAAAGGUGGAGCCAAUUCUCCCAAGAGCACAUACAGACUCAUCCCAUGCGUUUUCCCAGCCUUGCAUAAUUUUCAGUGCACAAAGAAAACUAGACUCCACUCAGUGAAUCUCUCUCAGCGUGUCAAAUUUCGUUUCACUGCGUCACAUUUUGCCGUGAAAAGCGGGACUGCUCAGGUUUACAUCGAUUGAAGCCCUUACGAAUAAUUCUGUAAGAUAUCGAAUAUUCUGUAGAAAACAGACAGUUCUGAGGGAAACGGCAAGUUCCAUGAGGCACGGCCAAUUCCGCCAAAUUUCGCAGAAAGCUAGGGGCUCUAGGUAUAUCGUCAAUGUCCACAGCCAUUUCAACAGCAUGCGUAUGAGCUUAGCACCACUUAAUAAGUAAGAGUAAUAAGUAAAUAGUAAGAGCUUAGCAUAGAGCACCACUGUUUCUGUGGUGAUCUAGUUGAAAGGAAAUAACUUCAGGAAGGUGAUUCAUUGUUUCAUCUAUUGCAUCAAGUGUAAUAAAGCUAUAUGGUUUUGGUGGUGCUCUACCUAUUUAACUUUUUACAGUUGUCGUUAAAGUUAUGCGUGUCUUCCCACUGGUUGUUUGCUUCAUUCCUUUCAGCAUAUCAAAUUCACGCAGCAUGAAAAAAGUGCGAAGCAAUAAGUAUGGAAGAAACUAUGACA